rnacentral:lncRNA from 1 species
CCCUCUUGCUCACCCUUGACUUGGAAAAACCAGUUUCUCUUUUAUUAGGCGGGGUUUCACCAUGUUGCCCAGACUGGUCUUGAACUCCUGAGCUUAAGCAAUCCACCUGCCUCGGCCUCCCAAAGUAUUGGGAUUACAGGUGUGAGCCACCGCAUCCGGCCUCAUGUUCUUUUUCAUUAAAGAGAGAAAUCAACUAUUCAGGACCGGCCCCCACCUUUCCUCAGGAGUCAUUUCUGUUCUGCACAGGCCUGCUGAACUGGGUGCUUUAUAUAGGAUUUCAGUGGAGUGAAGUUCAGGAGGCAUGGAGCUGACGACCACGAGGCCUCGGCAGCCACCGCCGCUGCCGCCACCACCACCGCCGCCGCCGCCGCCGCCGCAGCAGCAAGAGUAACUCUGACUUAGGAAUAGAGACAGCCGGAGAGAAAUGUGAUCAAUGA